rnacentral:rRNA from 1 species
GACGAACGCUGGCGGCGUGCUUAACACAUGCAAGUCGAACGGAAAGGCCCCUUUGGGGGUACUCGAGUGGCGAACGGGUGAGUAACACGUGAGUAACCUGCCCUUGACUUCGGGAUAACUUCAGGAAACUGGGGCUAAUACCGGAUAGGAAUCCUUGCUGCAUGGUGGGGGUUGGAAAGCUUCGGCGGUUUUGGAUGGACUCGCGGCUUAUCAGCUUGUUGGUGGGGUAGUGGGUUACCAAGGCUUUGACGGGUAGCCGGCCUGAGAGGGCGACCGGCCACAUUGGGACUGAGAUACGGCCCAGACUCCUACGGGAGGCAGCAGUGGGGAAUAUUGCACAAUGGGCGGAAGCCUGAUGCAGCAACGCCGCGUGCGGGAUGACGGCCUUCGGGUUGUAAACCGCUUUCAGCAGGGGCGAAGCUUGUGGUGACGGUACCUGCAGAAGAAGCACCGGCUAACUACGUG